AAAAAAAAAGACUUAUAAAACUGAAGGUGAACGCUGGAAAGAAUUUUACAUAGAGCAACAAAUUGCUAACAGAUUAGGCAGUCAAUUGGAAUUGGACGUUAUGCAAUCCUAUAUCACAGAUGUGGAUUCCUCAGUCUCCUCUUGACACGUACUUUAAAACCACCCCGAAAAGAAUCCUAUAAAAAUUGCUUCAAAGCCCCUUUUGCAUUGCAAUAGUGCAGCAAACCACAAGUAAACAAUUUCCUGUUAACCUGUUAUUUCAUUUCAAAUAUAGACUGAAAAGGCAACAGGCGUUUUGUGCAAUUUCAUUUUAACAAACUAAGUUGAAAUAUCCAAUCUACACAGUGCUGUCCCUUCACAGAAGGCAAGGAACUGCUGGUUCAUCAUGUAGGAGGGCGUCCCCGGCUCUGUAAGCUGUGGAAGUGUGCCUCCUUCAGGAUCUGGUUGAUGUGGAAGUAAGGACCUUGACUUAGUGCAGAUUGCUCAUGGAAGGACUGAGAGGAGACAGGGCUGGAUCCCGUAACUAUGGGGUUCAGGCUGGGUUCUGAGCCGCUCGCUCUGUCAGGGCUGUUGAUGCUACUGCUACUACAGCUGCUGCUGCUGCUGCUGCCGCUAUCGCUGCUGGAGGACGCACAGGACACUUUGUUUCCUUUUAGUCUGUGUUCCUUACUGUUUUUCGUUACAGCCACCUUCUCAGUGUCCCAAGAGUCCUGAAGGACGGUAUUCCUGGUACUACGUUUGGUCUGUGGAAUAUGACUGUCAUCUUCAUUACCAUUGCGCCUCCUCUUCCUCUGCCUGGCUCCCCGCUCGCUGGGCAGCGGCUGCCGGCAGCUCAUGGCGGGCACAGCCCGGGGGCCGCGGUACGGUCCGACGCCGCUGAGGAGAUACGGCACCGCUCGACUCCCACCGCCGCUUCCG
rnacentral:lncRNA from 1 species